rnacentral:lncRNA from 1 species
AUUCCCUGUAGCUCUCAAAGCAAAUUUUGAGCUCAUUUUUCUUUUUCUGCAAGCUCAGCAGCAGAAUGCCCAGACAAUUCCCUGUAGCUCUCAAAGCAAAUUUUGAGCUCAUUUUUCUUUUUCUGCAAGCUCAGCAGCAGAAUGCCCAGAGUCUUCCCUGGUAGAUGCAGAAUGCCCAGAGUCUUCCCUGGUAGAUGCAGGUUCCAUAGCGACGUUCUCCUGCAAUGCACGCUGGUAUUCUGCAAUAGCAGUCCAUGUUUUUCCUUGAGCCUGGGACAGGGAGAGCAUGAGAAAUUGAGUAUGGAGUUA